UUCACGACGUCGACAAGAACAACUCCAGUUUUCACUCCUUUCUUUCGAUAAAUUUAUCCGUUUUAAUCGAAACAAAUCCGGGCAAAAAGCAUUUCAAAAUUUGUAAGUGUUUCAUCGUCAUGAGGAUGUCAAGAGAUCAAUUGUAACAAGCUCAUAAUGAUCUGAAUAUGAUGUCCGCCUAUAACUAAGAAGUGUUCGUCCACCACUAUCAUGAAGAUGUCAAGAGUUCACCAGGAACAAAGCUUGUCAUGAUCUGAAUAUGAUGUAGGCUUUAGCUAAGAAGUGUUUGUCUGCCAUGUCAAGAGAUCACAGUAACAAAGCUCAUAAUGAUCUGAAUAUGAUGUAGGCCUAUAACUUAAAAGUGUUUGUCUGCCAUCGUCAUGAAGAUGUCAAGAGAUCAACAGU